GGCUCUAUGCUGCAAUCUCUGGGGAGGAGGAAGUCUUACUGUGCUCUCUCUGCAUAGUGAACAACGAGGACAUGGAAGGUUCGUUCACACAAGCGUCUGCAUCUGUGUUUCCAUGAAUAAGAGCGAAGCACAACUGUCGGACCGCAGAUCAUUCCAGAAGUCAAUCAAGCAAGGAGUUUUCAAACACACCACAAAGUGGGCAGAAUUUUCCAGUGAACCUCUGGGGUCUGCCUGGCACCUGAAUCGCCAGUGCUGGGUUAUCCAGUAUGCACGUGAGGAACAGCAUUCUGGAUUGGUCUUCAGCUCCAUUUGUGAGUCACCCGACAGUGCCCAGCAUGCUGCUUGUUAUUAGUUGAGUCAUCUGGAUGGAGGCUGAUUAUCCACUAUGCCCGAGGCAGGGAUAAGUGAUGAGCAACUAAUCAAGGGCAGAUUCCAAAGAAGCCAAACAAAGAGUCCUUUGUAUGCUGUGCGUGUUGUUACUGGUAAACGCUCUGCAUAUUUAUGAUCAACAAUCACCUGGUGGUAAAAGUUUGAAAAGCUCUCAAGAUGUCAAGUAUAUCAAGCAAAGAUUUCUUAGAAUUCUUUUUCCUCCCUUAAUUUUGCUCUCCCUUUGCUUUUCACCCCUACUGGGUAAUAGAAUGGGAGGAAACCCACACGGUGCAUAAAGGAACGUUUACUCUCACAUGUAUUGGCCAAAGAAUCCCAGGUGUACUUCAGCUUCUACUCCAACAAUACUCACUCCUGCAGCAGCCAUUUGAACUUGGGGGCCACAUUUGUAGUCGUCUCAACCUUUUUCUUUUUAGAAAACCGACAUCAUCAAUCUUACUAAAAUACCUAGGCAUAUCUCAAGGAUUACACACACCACGACCCACAGCUGUGAGAGCCAUUGCCUGCCUUUCAGUGCAAUUAUUAGUUAGGAAUAAACAAAGAUUUUUAAGAGCUGAAUUGUGUCCCCCCCCCCCAAAAAAAAAGAUGUAUUGAAGUCCUAAUCCCCAGUACCUCAGAAUGUGCCUCACAUGGAAACAGGGUCUUUGUAGAUUUAAACAAGUUAAGAUGAGAUCCUUCGAGUGGGCGUUAAUCCAAUAUGACCUGUGUCUUUAUAAAAUGGGGAAAUUUGGACAUAAAGGCAGAUACAAACUUUGGGAAAAUGUCAAGUGAAAAAGAGAUCAGGUGGUGUAUCAGCAAAGCACUAGAAGCUCGAGAAAAGGAUGGGACAGAUUCUCCCUCACGGCCCUCAAAGGAUGCAACUCUA